UACGUAGGGUGCAAGCGUUGUCCGGAAUUAUUGGGCGUAAAGAGCUCGUAGGCGGUCUGUUACGUCGGCUGUGAAAACCUGGGGCUCAACCCCGGGCCUGCAGCCGAUACGGGCAGACUAGAAUUCGGUAGGGGAGACUGGAAUUCCUGGCGUAGCGGUGAAAUGCGCAGAUAUCAGGAGGAACACCAGUGGCGAAGGCGGUUCUCUGGGCCGGUACUGACGCUGAGGAGCGAAAGCGUGGGGAGCGAACGGG
rnacentral:rRNA from 1 species